GGAAAGGCUCAGAACCUCCAGGGUUUCAUUGACACAGCAUGGAGACCCAGCUCUGUCACUCAACUCCAUACGGACUUCACCCAGAGCCUGACAAUGUAUAAGAAGGAGUUGCUAUGCCUGAUGAGUGCUUCUGCCACUUUCUCCAGGAUGACAGCCGUGGACUCCUGCCAGAUUCACCACCCCCUUGCUGACCUCCCCACCGCCCUCCUUGGCACCCAGGUGGCAGACCUCCUAUGGGUCUUGCUGUCUUCUCUACCUUGUAUGCUGAGGGUAGGCCCAGCCUCAGAGUCUGGACAUAGUAGGUGCUUGCAUGUUGCCUGCUAAAUUGACAGCCCUGUAACCAUGUCAGCACAAAGCAACCAGCAUUUUGGGUGCAUCUACAGUUAAAAUAAACCACUGAGGUCAUG